UUUUUCAUAUAGUCUUAUACAUAAAACUGGCCCUUUGAGUGCAACCAUGAUGGUAAUGUGGCCCGAGAUAAAAUUGAGCUUGACACCCCUGCUUUUAAGUGUGGUUACUGACCUUUUUCUCUUUUAUUUUCUUUACCUCACCUGUAACUGCUGAGACCCUGAGGAACAUGCACACUG